AAAUAACAGAUUAAAUAUUAUAUUUUUUAUAUAUUUAGGCACUGUAUUUUUUUCUCAUUUACAGAUUUUGUCGUUUGAAAACUUGAUAACAAAUUAAAUGAGAAUUAUUUGGAAACAUAUAUAGCAGAUUAAAUAUUUCUUUUUAUUUACAUAUUUAGCCAUUGCAUUUCUUUCUUAUUUACAAAUCUGCCACUUUACUUAAAAUCAAAAAUUUAAAUUAAUUAAUUAUAAUGAGUAUAUACAAUAUACUAGGUACCCAAAAAAUAUUGUAUAUAUUAGGUAUAUUUCGGUGAUUGGGUAUAUUUGGGUGAUUGAGUAUAUUUUUGGUAUUUCAGAUUUUUUAUAAGUUUUGAGUUCGGGUUUUUGGAUUUAAUUUUAGGUUUCGGAUAAAAAAAUUUAGAUUUUCGGAAAAUAUAAUUCGGGAAUUCAGGUAUAUUUUGGGUAUUUGGGUCUGAUUUUGAGUGAACGUUUGGAUAUUUUUGCGGUUCUUCGAGUAUUUUUAGAGUUUUCGGAUCCAAUUAGGGUAUUUAUGAUCUUUUUUUGGACUUAAAUACCUGAACCGACCCGAUCUAAAAUAUACCUGAUAAUUACGGGGAUUGGAAUUAUAGGCCCGAACCGGUAAGGCCCGGUUCGGAACCGAUCCGAAAAUUAUAUGUACAUAUAUGGGUCCAAAUUUCGAAGACCUAAAAGAUCCGGAUCUAACGACACCCGGCCCAAGGAUCCGGAUGCCCAUGGCUAGUAUGAAAAGCCUAAAUUGCAUAUCAACCCUUUUGUCUCCUAAUGUGAGCUGGUUGAUUGGUUUCCAACUGGUAAAUAGUAUGUCAACAUUUGACAUAACGAACCUACACACAUUCACUCAUUUUAUAAUCUUCCUUAGUUUGAAUGACUUGAGGAGCUAAGGAUAACUGUGAGUGACCUUCAUGACAUCUAUCAUACAAAGGACUUUCGCUCCUUCUAACAAUUCGUAGAAUAUCUUUGAAUGAUUGCAUAUCGGAUCUACUACAUUUUCAUAACUACCAUCUUACUGAUAGCUAUGAUAACUCACAUUAUCACCAAAUGCAUCAUUCACCAUUUCUACAUAUCUAUUCUACAAUAUUACUUAAAUGUGUCAGAUAAACAUAACUCGUUCCUAAUGCUAUGUCAAUCUCUAUCCUGUACGAAACAUAAUAGUCUUGCAUAAAUCUUUUAAUAUAUAUAUAUAUAUAUAUAUAUAUAUGUUUCAAAAUUCAUUAUUCCGAGAAAAAUUUAUCAUUGUUGCAAACACUGCAAGGGAAAAAGAACUGACUAUUUUCUCUGCACUAAAAGCUGACUAUUUACAAACGUCAUAAAUUGCUCUACUCCUGCUUUUAACUCUUCCAAGACGUUUCCCGUUUUUUCACGAUCCUCUUGUACAUUCAAUCUCAGAAAUUAGUAUAGUUUGUAAUUGCCCGCCAUUAUAUCAAGUCACAAUUUUGUUUCUUUUUUGUUCUUCCACGACUGAUGACGAUAUAAGAAAUGUGACAAUUUAUUCUAUAUAUAAAAUAUUUACCGACGAUUUUUCUACUUAUUUACAACUGAUUUUACGACUAAUAUAAUCAGUCGUAAAAAACGGUAUACCAACCUAAGAACGACUUAUACAUGUUUUGUACCCGUAUUCUGCGACUUCGAAGCAACGAUUUCACUAUUGAUUUUGCGACUAAUAUAAUCAGUAGUAAAAAACAGGUACACCAACCUUAGAGGGAUUUCCACGUGUUUUAUAUCCGUUUGUUGCGACUGCAAAUCAAUUCUUUUACCACAAAAUCAUACGGUCGUUAAACGGUUGCUAAAUUUGCGUGCGACUGAUAAUUGACCCCGUUUACUGACCUCAAAUAAGUACCAAAUAGUCGUACAUCGCGACCAAUUUGCAACGUUUUUCGUAGUAGCAAAUUAGCUACUAAAUAGUGACUUAUUGUUUGGUCGUAAGUCGCUAAUCCGUCGGUAAACAGUCGCCACUUUUAGGGACUGCGUUAGUAGUUGCCAAAAUCAGUCGGAAAAUACAUGUUUUGUUGUAGUGGAAAACACCAAUUGAUACUUAUAAUGUAUAUAUACAACAUACUUAAAUCAGGAUAAAAUACAAUAUUUUAAUUUUAGAAUUGACCUAAUUAUAUGUUCACUGUACACGCCAAACUAUAUAAGAAAAUUUAAUAUCAUUUACGUUUUGUGAGCAAAACGGAAGAAUAUCUUAAUUUUAAUGAAUGUAAUCGCAAAUGAAUAAUUAUAAAUGCUAAGUUCUAAUUAUGAAAAGAAAGAAAUCAAAUCAUGAAUUUUGUUGUGUGUAAAAUGUACUUUUAUCACUUUAACAUGUGUCACUUUUAUCAAAAUAUAUUUUUUAUCAACUUUACAUAUCUCGGUUUAAUCAACAUAAGAUAUAUUACUUUUUUUUUUUGUAACUGAAGAUAUAUUACUUUCUUAGUAAAACAAAGUAUUUUAAAAUGAUAUUAUCCAUGAACUAAAUUGCCAAUUCCAAGCAUACUCCAGAAAUACAUUAUAUAAGCAUUUGAGCAAAGAUGUAUAUAUUAUUCAAAUUUUAUCAAAACAUAUUUACAAGCCGUAAACCAUUCCUCAUAUCACAAAACUUUCAGGCAAAAAAGAAAAACAUGGCGGAAUCAAAAAAAAUCUUCAUCGUUUUUGUUAUUUGUCUCUUAUGCACAUUGUUGGUGAGCGUCUCUGGAAUACAGGUCAAACCAUCAUGCACGACAUCGAUAGAAUGUGAGUUGGUGUGUUUUAGAAGAACAGGGAGAAGAGAUGGUGUAUGUGAGGGUGGAAUGUGCGCUUGUCUGUCCCCAAAACCCAAGACGGAGUUGACCAAGACCAUACUGUGCAAGAAGGACCGUGACUGUCCCAGUUCUAGUGAAUGCCCUAAAGACUUCUAUUACUCUUGUCUUCAUGGAGAAUGUACUUGCAUUGCAGUAUAAAUCGAUUAAAAUAUAUCUAAUAUAUAUAUACUGCUUAUCCUACUGGAUAAUAUGCAUCUUUGUUGACGCGAAA